UGCGUAGGCGGGCUAUUAAGUCAGUGGUGAAAUCUCUCGGCUCAACCGGGAAACUGCCAUUGAUACUGUUAGUCUUGAGUUCGGUUGAGGUAGGCGGAAUGUGUAAUGUAGCGGUGAAAUGCUUAGAUAUUACACAGAACACCAAUUGCGUAGGCAGCUUACUAGACCGACACUGACGCUGAGGCACGAAAGCGUGGGGAGCGAACAGGAUUAGAUACCCUGGUAGUCC
rnacentral:rRNA from 1 species